GAUGUCUUCGGACNUAGCGCGGUGGUCCCACCUGACCCCAUGCCGAACUCAGAAGUGAAACGCCGUAGCGCCGAUGGUAGUGUGGGGUCUCCCCAUGCGAGAGUAGGGAACUGCCAGGCAUC
rnacentral:rRNA from 1 species